AUUGAACGCUGGCGGCAGGCCUAACACAUGCAAGUCGGGCGAGUGGCGGACGGGUGAGUAAUGUAUGGGGAUUUGCCAGAUGGAGGGGGAUAACUACUGGAAAAGGUAGCUAAUACCGAAUACCAUCAGAUGAACCCAUAUGGGAUGAGCGUGGAGGUGAGGUACAGGCUCACCAAGGCAACGAUCCCUAGCUGGUCUGAGAGGAUGAUCAGCCACACUGGGACUGAGACACGGCCCAGACUCCGACGGGAGGAAGCAGUGGGGAAGAUUGCACAAUGGGCGCAAGCCUGAUGCAGCCAUGCCGCGUGUAUGAAGAAGGCCUUAGGGUUGUAAAGUACUUUCAGUCGGGAGGCGUUACCGACAGAAGAAGCACCGGCUAACUCCGUGCCAGCAGCCGCGGUAAUAC
rnacentral:rRNA from 1 species